rnacentral:rRNA from 1 species
UGGCUCAGGAUGAACGCUGGCGGCGUGCUUAACACAUGCAAGUCGAACGAUGAUCUCCAGCUUGCUGGGGGGAUUAGUGGCGAACGGGUGAGUAACACGUGAGUAACCUGCCCUUGACUCUGGGAUAAGCCUGGGAAACUGGGUCUAAUACCGGAUACGACCAUCUGGCGCAUGUCAUGGUGGUGGAAAGCUUUUGUGGUUUUGGAUGGACUCGCGGCCUAUCAGCUUGUUGGUGGGGUAAUGGCCUACCAAGGCGACGACGGGUAGCCGGCCUGAGAGGGUGACCGGCCACACUGGGACUGAGACACGGCCCAGACUCCUACGGGAGGCAGCAGUGGGGAAUAUUGCACAAUGGGCGAAAGCCUGAUGCAGCGACGCCGCGUGAGGGAUGACGGCCUUCGGGUUGUAAACCUCUUUCAGUAGGGAAGAAGCGUAAGUGACGGUACCUGCAGAAGAAGCGCCGGCUAACUACGUGCCAGCAGCCGCGGUAAUACGUAGGGCGCAAGCGUUAUCCGGAAUUAUUGGGCGUAAAGAGCUCGUAGGCGGUUUGUCGCGUCUGCUGUGAAAGACCGGGGCUCAACUCCGGUUCUGCAGUGGGUACGGGCAGACUAGAGUGAUGUAGGGGAGACUGGAAUUCCUGGUGUAGCGGUG